AGUUAUUUGCAUAAGAACCCCUGGCUUCCUGGGAGGGCCUACAAAGAGGACUUUUGAGCAGCUGAAGGGCAGAUUUGCCACAUUUAGGGCCCAGCUACCCAAGGGGACGCUCUAGCCAAAUCCCAAAGGAGAGCACUUUGGAAAAGCAAGCCCUUACCACCACCUCAAGUCACAAGUGAGCCAGUCAACAUUUGCUCUGCUUGAGAGGGCACCUCAGUUGGUACAGUCUACCAUGGCACUGUGAAUAGUCUGUCUCCUCAGCUCCUCUGAGAUCCUUCCUAGAGAAGGGGGUGUCCUUGUGAGCCAGAGUGCAGCUGCCAUGAACUUCCACUGCAUUCAGUCAAAAACAUUUCUUAAGUGCAUCCUGGGCAGGUGAGGUGAGAGAACAAGACCAAAGGCUGUUACGGUCCAGAAAGGAAGAGACAAAUGUCAUCAAAACCAGAGGGGGUUAUCUUUUGUUUUACGGCUUGAUGUCUUCCAGAUGUGAAUAUAGCCACGCCUCCUUUUAUUAUAACUAACGUUCACAUGGCAUAUCUUUUUCUAUCUUUUUAAUUUCAACCUACCCUGGUAGUUGUAUUUAAAGUGAGUUUCUUGUAAAUAACAUAUGUUGGAUCAUUUUUUCUAUCCACUCAGUCAAUGUCUGUCUUUUAUUUAGUGUAUUUAGACCAUUUACAUUUAAGCUAAUUGUUGAUGUGUUAGGACUUAAAUCUGCCACUUUUUUGUUUUCUGUUUGUUUCCUCUAAUUCCUCCAUUUCUCUUUGUUUACCUUCCUCUGGGUUACCUGAGCAUUGCUUAAGAUUCCAUCUUGAUAUAUUGAUAAUGUUUUUUAGUAUCCUGUUUUGUAUAGUGUUCUUAGUGGUUGCUAUAGGUAUUACAAUAUAUACAUAACUUAUCACAGUCUACUGGUUGCAACAUUUACCACUUUCAAUGAGGUGUAGAAAUCUUAUUCCAUUUCAGUCCCUUUACCUGUUGCAUUUUUAAAAUAUGUUUUUCUUAAGUAUCUCCUCCAUCUAUACUGAACACUAGAUCAGAUGGUGUUAUAAUUUUUGCUUCAACCAUCAAAUAUGUUUUAAGAAACUAAUGAGAAGUGGGAUACUUUACCCCUAUUUUACCCAUUCUGAUGUUAUUUUUCCCUUUUUGAAGUUCCAAGCCUUCUUUUAUUAUCAUUUCCUUUAUGUAUAGAGAGUUUUCUCUAGCCAUUCUAAAAGCAUAGGCUUUCUAGCAACAAAACCUCUUAGUUUUUCUUAGUCUGAGAAUGUC
rnacentral:lncRNA from 1 species